rnacentral:lncRNA from 1 species
CUAGCCAUUCAGAUCUUUAUUGUGUAUGUUGGCUACAGUAGAUUCAGAUUCACUAUUAGGAGUAGGAUGCACCUAAAUGGGAUCUAUCGAUCUUGGUAGAAAAGAAAAAAUUCUAUACGAUUUGCAAGAUUGAGUUCAAAAAGUUUUUGGCCAAAGUAAGUAUGAAUACUGAAAAAGAGUUUUCAUGAGAUUCACAAAUGAACUCGAGUCGAGUCAAUCUAGCAUAU